rnacentral:rRNA from 1 species
UAGCGUAGGGGGCUAGCGUUGUCCGGAAUCGAUUGGCGUAAAGAGCGCGUAGGCGGCCAGAUAAGUCCGGUGUGAAAGUCACAGGCUCAACCUGUGAAUGCCGCUGGAAACUGUCUGGCUAGGGUCCGGAAGGGGCGAGUGGAAUUCCUGGUGUAGCGGUGAAAUGCGCAGAUAUCAGGAGGAACACCAAUGGCGAAGGCAGCUCGCUGGGACGGUACUGACGCUGAGGCGCGAAAGCUAGGGGAGCGAACAGG